CAAUCUUGUUCUGGUGUGACACAUCAAGAGUGCUGCCCAUCACAUAAAGAGAAAGCAUUUUAACAAAACUGAACCUUCAGAAGAGAGCCAACGUGGAGAUUCAGGAACCACCCUGUAAGAGCACAGAAGUCAUGAACAGAGGUUUGGCCCUUUAACAUUAGACUUCAGACCACAGCAGGACUCUCAAGGUGCUUGAACAGCAACAGAAAUAAUGACAAGAGCAAUGACUGCAACAUUACCAGUAGUACAGCAGGAAGAGGAAGUUGGGCAGUGAUAUGGCCAGCUGGAUCCCUUGCCAGGUGGGAAUCACGUAUGCAA